UCUGUCUGUCUGUCUGUCUGUCUGUCUGUCUGUCUGUCACAACGACCACGCCCCCUUCUGGGUGAAAGCAGCUGUAUAAGUUCCUAAAAGUUUUACACAUCAAACAAUAAAAAACUUUAUUUACUUUCUUGAUGGACAGACAGUCAGUGAGUGUGUCUGUGUCCAACUCUUCCUCACAGGUUAGUUAAUGACAGACAGUCAGUGAGUGUGUCUGUGUCCAACUCUUCCUCACAGGUUAGUUAAUGACAGACAGUCAGUGAGUGUGUCUGUGUCCAACUCUUCCUCACAGGUUAGUUAAUGACAGACAGUCAGUGAGUGUGUCUGUGUCCAACUCUUCCUCACAGGUUAGUUAAUGAUGUUACUGAGUCAAUGUGAGCAGAUUGUGUCUGUAGAUUGAAGAGAAUCAGAGUCUCACUGAUGGUGGAAAUAAAGGUUUUACUUCCUUAAAACA